rnacentral:rRNA from 1 species
UACGAAGGGGGGCUAGCGUUGCUCGGAAUCACUGGGCGUAAAGGGUGCGUAGGCGGGUCUUUAAGUCAGGGGUGAAAUCCUGGAGCUCAACUCCAGAACUGCCUUUGAUACUGAAGAUCUUGAGUUCGGGAGAGGUGAGUGGAACUGCGAGUGUAGAGGUGAAAUUCGUAGAUAUUCGCAAGAACACCAGUGGCGAAGGCGGCUCACUGGCCCGGUACUGACGCUGAGGUGCGAAAGCGUGGGGAGCAAACAGGG